rnacentral:lncRNA from 10 species
CAGACUGAGGGCGAAACAGCAGGCAGGACUGGGUGGAGACGUUCGGGGACGUGGCAACUGGAGUUUCUUCUCCGUAUAUUUCGGCAUUCAGUUCCUUUUUUUUUUUGUUUUAACUCAGGAAAAAAUCUCAAUUGCGUUUAGUAUUUUGAAAGCCACUUUAUUGCUUCCCGAGCCUCAGUCAUGUGUGGUGGGAGGCUGCUGUGGGUGGCACCUGGGGCGUCCACGGCCGCCAAGGCGGGAGGACGUCAGGCCCUGCUUGCUCCCACCCCUUCCAGGUGAGAGCUCCCGGGCACGCCCGUCGUUGGCUCUUCGUCCUCUUGGUGUUCUUCCCUGUUGCUUCAAAUCAGGUUCCUGUCUCAAAAAUCCGAAAAAGAAAUCCUCCCAAAUGACUCUGUGCCCGACGCUCCGUUAAGGCAUCGUGCUAGGCGUUCUCAAACUCGUGAAAUGACUACACUGCACAGGUUAACCUCAUUGCUACUCUUCCCCUUGCCUCCUAAUUCUCUGGUUAAACUUCCGCCCCCGAGGUUUCUAGAAAUCCCUGAGCUGGAAUGCGCUGCCUUCAUUAAGAGGGUGUUCUGCUUCCGUCUGCUCACAUUCAUCUAGUAAGCCCUCUCGUUAAAGAGGAGGCAGCACACCGAGGCCUGUCUAGAACUUCUUUCAUUUAACCAACAGUGAAUAUCUAAUCUACAAGAAACUGGAGCCGUGGCAGUUUAGGAGCCUGCCAAGGUUGCAUCCCUGGGAGCUUAUUUUCUAUUGUGGGAGACAGGAAAAGAACAAGUGAAUCAACUGUGAAAUUAAAUAAUUCAAACUUAAAGCUGUUGGAACUUUAAAUUAUUCUGAGCCUUGCGAAGAAUGUGGCGAUGGGGCCUGAGUCCCAUGGCAUACAGCUGCAAUGUCUGCCUUGUUUUUUCCUAUAAUCAGGAAGACCAAACAGAGACAGAGGCGCACACACCAAGAAAGGCCAUGUGGGCACACAGCAAGAUGGUGCCUGUCUGCAAACUAGGAAAAGAGCCCUCACCAGGAACUGAAACAGCUGGCACCUUGAUGUUGGACUUUCCAGCCUCCACAACUGUGAGAGCUUCAAGCACUGUCUGUCUCAGCAAAGAAAAGCUCUGGAUGGGAGCCAGGAAGCCCCAGUAUUGAAGCUUCAGACCAGCUCACAUGUUGUUGCACAUGAAGGAUUCCAGUCUGUGGAAGGGAUUAUUAACUGGAGAAAAU